UGCCAGACUCCUACGGGAGGCAGCAGUGAGGAAUAUUGGGCAAUGGAGGCAACUCUGACCCAGCCAUGCCGCGUGAGUGAAGAAGGUUUUCGGAUUGUAAAGCUCUUUCGGAUGUGACGAUGAUGACGGUAGCAUCUAAAGAAGCCCCGGCUAACUUCGUGCCAGCAGCCGCGGUAAUACGGAGGGUGCGAGCGUUAAUCGGAAUUACUGGGCGUAAAGCGCUCGUAGGCGGUAUGUCAAGUCAAGGGUGAAAUCCCCGCGCUCAACGUGGGAACUGCCUUUGAAACUGGCAAACUGGAGUGUGUGAGAGGAUAGUGGAAUUCCAGGUGUAGGAGUGAAAUCCGUAGAUAUCUGGAGGAACAUCAGUGGCGAAGGCGACUAUCUGGCACAUAACUGACGCUGAGGAGCGAAAGCGUGGGUAGCAAACAGGAUUAGAUACCCUUGUAA
rnacentral:rRNA from 1 species